GACGAACGCUGGCGGCGUGCUUAACACAUGCAAGUCGAACGAAGUGGCGAACGGGUGAGUAACGCGUAAUCAACCUGCCCUUCAGAGGGGGACAACAGUUGGAAACGACUGCUAAUACCGCAUACUGAAGGAGGGGAUUGAGUCUGAUUAGCUAGUUGGAGGGGUAACGGCACACCAAGGCGAUGGUCAGUCGCCGGUCUGAUAGGAUGAACUGCCACAGUUGGACGGAGAAACGGCCCAGGUUCCUACGGGAGGCAGCAGUGGGGAAUCUUCCGACAUGGACGAAAGUCUGACGGAGCAACGCCGCGUGGAUGAAGAAGGCCCUCGGGUUGUAAAGCUCUGUUAAUCGGGACGCGGUACCGGAAUAGAAAGCAACGGCUAACUCCGUGCCAGCAGCCGCGGUAAUAC
rnacentral:rRNA from 1 species